CUGGGAUCCUCAGAGAUGGAGAUCUGGAUGUGAAGAGAAAGAGAAAAACAAAAGUCAACAGACAGUACUGUGACCAAGUCAGUGAUGGUGAGAUCAGCAGCAUCUCUAGGACCCUUCUGAUUGACAUGAAGUCACCAUCAAGUAGGCAGAACUCACAGGACUUAUGGAGCAAGGAUGACUGACACAAACACAAAAAUCAUUCUGCCUGUUGAAUGAAUCAUAAAAUACUGUCUUUGAUCCAGGAGGCUUGUGUCAUCUGCCAGCAUUUAUGAAACUGUGCUCCAAGUAGGCUCCUGUAUCAGCAGUGCUUGCCCCUGAUAGAUGAUGAUCAUGGGGGGACCAGGAGCCUCUAGACUUAGAGAACUUUCCCCACCCUCCCUGUGGAGUGUUUCCCUCCCCAGCACCCCCUGCUGGUCAGUUUGACAAACAGAUGAACAGAAGUUCUCAAAUACACAGUAAGCAGAUAACCCCAACAUCACCAGAAAUAUCAACUUGUGAUGGCAUUUUGUCAAGUUGUCUUUGUUAUCGGCAUCAUCUGUUGCUUUCUGAGGGAAGUAUUUUGAGUUCUCCUACUGAGACUGUGGAUUUGCCUAUUUCUUUUUGUAUGUCAGCUUUUGCCAUAUGUAUUUUGUAGUUGUGUUGUGAGGAAGAUUCAUGACUUAUCUUGUGGGAGAAUUCUGUAUUUAGCAGAUUUUCGUCUUAAGUUCUGUUUUGCUUAGUAUUGAUGUUAUUACUUUGCUUUUUCAGUUUCAAAAUCAUUUAGUAUAUCUUUUUCCUUUCUUUUAGCCUUUGUGUUUUUAUUUCAGAUGUGCUUUCUUAUGUACUGACUGUGAUCCCCAAAUUCAUAUGUUGAAGUCCCAACUCCAAAUGUAUUUGGAGGUGGGCCUUUCAGAC
rnacentral:lncRNA from 1 species